GACGAACGCUGGCGGCGUGCCUAAUACAUGCAAGUCGAGCGAACGGAAGAGAAGCUUGUUUCUCUGAUGUUAGCGGCGGACGGGAGAGUAACACGUGGAUAACCUACCUAUAUGACUGGGAUAAUUUCGGGAAACCGUAGCUAAUACCGGAUAAUAUUUUGCACCGCAAGGUUCAAAAGUGAAAGACGGUCUUGCUGUCACUUAUAGAUGGAUCCGCGCUGCAUUAGCUAGUUGGUAAGGUAACGGCUUACCAAGGCAACGAUGCAUAGCAGACCUAAAAGGGUGAUCGGCCACACUGGAAUUGAGAAACGGUCCAGAAUCCUACGCGAGGGAACAGUAGGGAAUCUUCCGCGAUGGGCGAAAGCCUGACGGAGCAACGCCGCGUGAGUGAUGAAGGUCUUCGGAUCGUAAAACUCUGUUAUUAGGGAAGAACAUAUGUGUAAGUAACUGUGCAGAUCUUGACGGUACCUAAAGAAAAAGCCACGGCUAACUACGUG
rnacentral:rRNA from 1 species